UAGAUUAUAAUUUAUAGACCAUAAAAUGGCAGUUUGUGGAGCUGCAUAAGAAUACUCUAAUCUAA
rnacentral:tRNA from 1 species